GGGUUGUGAGGUUAAGCGACUAAGCGUACACGGUGGAUGCCCUGGCAGUCAGAGGCGAUGAAGGGCGUGCUAAUCUGCGAUAAGCGCCGGUAAGGUGAUAUGAACCGUUAUAACCGGCGAUACCCGAAUGGGGAAACCCAGUGUGAUUCGUCACACUAUCAUUAACUGAAUCCAUAGGUUAAUGAGGCGAACCGGGGGAACUGAAACAUCUAAGUACCCCGAGGAAAAGAAAUCAACCGAGAUUCCCCCAGUAGCGGCGAGCGAACGGGGAGGAGCCCAGAGCCUGAAUCAGCAUGUGUGUUAGUGGAAGCGUCUGGAAAGGCGCGCGAUACAGGGUGACAGCCCCGUACAC
rnacentral:rRNA from 4 species